GUCUGAGUGCAUUUUAAUUAUACCUGGACACAGGGGUCCCCACUCAGACGUAACCGCAGUCCCGAGUGGACUGUCCCUGUGGUUGUAGUUGUCUGAGCUUGUGCUUUUCUCAAGAGCCUGACAUCACACGGAUCGUUAAGCAACUGUGCGGAGGAGCCGCUGGGCGUUUCCAUAGCAACCUGCAUGGGUUGCCUGCAGAGCUUGGUAACAAGAGCAUUUUAUUAUGGGUCAUUAAGGGCAAAAGGCUUGAUUUACCUUAUUUCCUGUAAAAUCCUAUUAUUUCAGGUGUUACAUUCCACCUCCAUCUAUGCUGCUCUUCUAGAAAAAAAAAUCAUAAAUGUGGAUUAUUAGAUGGAGAAACCAUCAGAGGCUUCAGAAUUGUUUGGGGAACUAUAAUAAGUUAGAAGCCACAUGUGUCCAUCACCAAGUGAAGAGAGGCAUAAAUUAUGGCAUAUACACAUGGCAGAAUACUAUGUAACAUUUGGAGUAUCUAGAUUCCAGGAAGUAUUAAAAGCAGAAGACACAGCUGGCCACAGUGGCUCACACCUGUAAUCCCAGCACUUUGGGAGGCCAAGGUGGGCAGAUCACCUGAGGUUGGGAGUUCGACACCAGGCUGACCAACUUGGAGAAACCCCAUUUCUACUAAAAAUACAAAAUUAGCUGGGCGUGGUGGCAUAUACUUAUAAUCCCACCUACUCGGGAGGCUGAGGCAGGAGAAUCACUUGAACCCAGGAGGCGGAGGUUGCGGUGAGCUGAGAUGGCGCCACUGCACUCCAGCAUGAACAAGAGUGAAACUGUCUCAAAAAAAAAAAGUAGAAGACACAAAUACAACCAACAUGAAUAUAUUCAGCUUCCUAGAAACACCCAUUUGUGUCUGAUCUAUACCUCAGCGCUUCAUUAAUUUGGUUAGCGUGAGUUGAUAUCUAAGAAACAAAUAGGCUGAAUGCACCUCAAAAUCUAAUUUCCUGAUGUGGGAAAGUGAGAACGUUUCAAUGUGGCGGCUCAUCUGCCUUCGCUGAAUUUGAAAACCAGACUCGACACCAUGGAUUAUCUCUUUUUAAACUGUAGAUUUUUCUCAGUAGAUUAUUAAGCUUCUGAGAGUAUGUGUUGUGUUUCUUAUUAAUAUAAAAUAUAGUAUACUUAAACUGUAAAAUAUUAAAGAAAAGUGUUAAUUAAUUGUAACAAUCCAUUAAAUUUUCUUCCUGGAAGUUUUAUGCGGUAUGUCUAGGUUGCUAGAGAUUGCAUUUAACAGGGAUAAAAUCUCUUGGCUAUAAAUCUAAGUCAAUAUAAUUUUUUUUAAAAAAAGUCCAUAAAGCCAGGCCACAUAGCUGUCAUUGAGUUGAGGCUCUACUUCCUCGAUAAUUGCUUGGUGGAAUUGUCUCGUGGGAGCUCCGGGGAAGAUGGCACAAAGGCUGCUUCUGACCAGUGAAGGAAACGAAGACAAAGGUGAAUGGAUCGUUGCACUGGCGUCGCCAAGUAAUUAUAAAUGCUUGAGAUUUUCACUAUUCUAUUAAAUGUUUUCAGCAUGUAAUCCAAAAAGAGAAGUGAAAAGUUCAGUCAGGAAGCCAUGACAGAGAGUAUUGUCUAUUGAUAAUCUCAUAUGAAUCCUCAAAAGCUGGAAUAAAAAAGUGAGGGUGGAGUGGAAGGGAGAUGAAAUUUGUCUUAGGUAAGCUUUGAUAUUCAUGGCUCCAGAAAUAGAAAAGGAAUUGAAUAGUAAUAGUGGAAGGCAAAUACUUUCUCUCAGAUAUUUACUAGUAUCUAGUACAAAAAUCUUUUUAUUUCCACUAAGAAGAAUAUAAUUAAAUGAUUCUACAUGGACUCCAUUUUUCUAUGUAAAGCAAUGGUUCUUUGUGUUUUGGGGUGAUAAAUGUCUUUUAAAAUUUCACGAAAGUUAAAGACUAUCUUUUUGAAAAAUGCACAUUCAUGCAUCAUUUUGCAUAAAAUGUCAGGGGUUCAUGAAUCCAAAACCCAAGAGCCUAGGUUAAAAAGAUCAAACUUACAGAGUGUACAGCAACUCAAUCUACAUUUCCCUCACCAAUUCUUUUAAAUUUUUUAACGUUUUCUAAGAAACACCUUGACAUUUGCCAUUUUUGCAGGUGUUCACAGAUUACCCUGAAAGAAAAUCAAUCAUCCUAAUUCCAGCAAAGCCCCAUUUUGACAUAAUUAGAUUUUGUUUACUUAAUUGGAGCUGCCAUUGAAUUCUGCAAAUUGCACACAUCAUAAUGGCACUUCCAGGAACUAGUGCCAAAGGACACAAAAAAUAUCUGGUUACCAAGGAGAAGUCUAGUGAUGCCUUGUACUUGUGGAAGGAAGGCAGUGUUAGUCAGCGGCCAUACAAAACCAAUAGCAGACAACUAAGCACAUCCGCGGGAGUAUUCCAGUGGCGUAGCUGACACUCAGUUAAAAUAUUCCUGUCUAACCCCCAUGACGGGUACAUUAUUAAGGUUUAAUGCAAUCAUAUUUUGGCAGCAAAUAGAAAUGUUAUUUCCCAGGUGCACUGAAUCAAAUUGAGAACAUUUGUUAAGUGAUGAGAUCAGUUCUUUGUCUUAGGAUGAUCUAAUGAGAAGCAUUUACCCACUAGGAGAGGCUUUAGAUUUCAAAGCUGUAUGUGCUACCUACCCGCAUGUUCGUCUCCGUUCUUCAGUGUCCUCAAAACAGGGGUGCAACAGAGAUCUAAGGUACCGUUAAGAAUCUGUUCAUCUAGCUCAGUCAUGCCUAACGAAGGAUGCCAUUUCCUACUUUCAGUUUUUUUUUUUUGAGUUGCUCCUGUGUGGAUGAUAUUAUUUAAACCAACAUAACAAAUUCAAGCUAGAUAAUGAGAAGUCAGGAGGCAUUACGAGGAGCCCUGAAACAGGAAGGCAGAAAGACUGGGUUUGAUGCCUGGCCCUAUCACUUAAUAGCUGUGUCAACCUGCGUAGUGUCUGUGGGCUUUAAUUUCCUCACAUACAGAGUGGAGGUAAAGUGCUUAUCUGUUAGGGAUUUUCCGAGUUCUCACAGUAGCCGUUAUAGGGAAGUAUGUUUUUUUCAACAUUACAAAUGUACUUUACAUUUACCUUUUUAAUUCUUUGUAGUAUCAAUGAAUGCAAUUUAAGAACAUGAAUAUUACCGCAAGACCCAAAACAACAACAAUUUUUUUAAAAAAGCAGUUUCCUUUCCAAUCCUGCUUUCCAGGGACAAUGACUUUCAAUCCUUUUGUUCAUUUUGGACUUUAUCUCCAUUUUUAUAACAUGCUGAUAUCAGUUUCUGGAUGCUUCCUCACACUUAGAUGUUGUAUAUUGAAUUUGUCAGUUGGAUGAAAUUGCUUCUUCUACACCACCCUCAACACACACACACUUUCUUCUCACCCAUCCUCACAAAACAGUUAUCACAAUUUGUGUUUAAAUAAGUUUUCAUGAUUAUGGCAAUAAAAAUGUUUAGAGCUGAGCCAUCUAAUCUACUAUGAGGUCAUUCCCUUCUUAGACAACUUCAUCUCGUAUUGUUUGUGUGUAUACAUAUGCCUUUUCUGUUUACCUUUCAUUAAUUCCUCUUCUAAAUCUCCCCCUGAACUACAAAUACCCUCUGAACAUGAUGAAAUGCAUCAGGUUCAAUUUCUUUUUCCUAUAACCUUCUUGCAAUCCUUUGCCUUUCUGCUAUAAUUAUGACCCUUCCUUCCUUCCUCCCUCCCUUCUUUCUUUUCUUUUUGUUCUUUCUUCCUCUCUUUCUCCCUUCCCUUUCCUUCCCCUUUCCCUCUAUCCCUCCCUUCCUCCCUCCCUCCUUUCCUUCCUUCUUUUCCUUUAUUUCUUCCUCUCUUUCUCCCUUCCCUUUCUCUUUGCCUUUCCCUUUUCCUUCCUACCUUCCUUCCUUCCUUCCUUCCUUCCUUCCUUCCUUCCUUCCUUCCUCCCUGCCUCUCUCCCUCCCUCCCUCCCUCCUUUCCUUCCUUCUUUCUUUUCUUUUAUUUCUUCCUUUCUCCCUUCCCUUUCUCUUUGCCUUUCCCUUUUCCUUCCUUCCUUCCUUCCUUCCUUCCUUCCUUCCUUCCUUCCUUCCUUCCUUCCUUCCUCCCUGCCUCUCUCCCUCCCUCCGUCCCUCCCUCCCUUCCUUCCUCCCUUCCUUUCUUCCCUCUUUUCUUUUCUCUUUUUUUGAGACAGGGUGUUGUUCUAUUACCCAGGCUGGAGUGCAGUGACAUGAUCAUGGUUCACUGCAGGUCAACUUUCCAGGCUCAAGCAAUCCUCCCACCCUAGCCUCCUGAGUGACUGGGACUACAGCUGCAUGCCACCAUACCUGGCAAAUAUUUGCAUUUUUUAUAGAAACAGGGUUUUGCCAUGUUACCCGGGCUGGAAUCUUUACUGUUUCUAUGGGCUCCUAAGGAUAGAUCCUCUACCACAACCUGCUGAUUUCACUUUUCUCCUGUGAUUAGAGCCCCUGCUUCCUACAUUUCUUUCUUGUUUGUUCUUUCUUAAUUUAGGUAGAGUAUACUAUCUUGUUGCUUCCUAAGAAAUUAUGUGUGAAAGGUAAAUUUUCGAGACUGACUGCAUCUGAAAGUGCCUCAUUUUUAAUUGAGACUUGAGUUGGGUAUAAAAAUAAAGGUCGGAAAUUGUUUCCUUGUGGAAAUAGUAUGAAGUGAGGUAUGUCUUCCUCUGGUCAAACACAUUGUUUUAUUGUCUGCAAGCUUUCGGUGUUAUUCCUGAGAAGACCGAUGCCAUUCUAAUUCUUAAACUAUAGCGUGUGAACUGCUUUUUCCUCCCUGAAAAUGUGUAAUGUUUUAUGGCUCAUGAAUGUGAUAAAGUUCCGGG